GACGCCUCGCUUCUGAUGGAGAGAGAGGCACCGCCCAACAACAACAACAAGACACGGUAGAACAUGGACUAGAGAACAGCAGUUGAUGAUUGGUUUGGAACUUCCAGUCCUAGGAACAAGCAUGCAUGCUUCAUUUUUCAGGCGGUCGCUGUGGUUGGAGUUGGACGGAGCCAGGGACCAGAGGAAAGUUGCCACCCUACCCCACUCUGAAACGCGAGGGAAGCAUGGCGGCGGCGUAGGCGGACGACCGGACGGCCUCGCACCAAAGGCCGCGGCAACACGUCCGUGGCGUGCGCACGCCAGGUGUUCGACGUGGUGCUCCAGAGGCAACAUCAACUUCGUUCGUCUCAGCUCCCGGUGACAGACCGCCACCUCCCGUCCCUGUCCGGCCGCCGCCGUCUUCCCGCUGGAACCGCGAGGUCUGGAUCCACACAUCCCGUGCUCACAAUGCAUGUCCUGAUUGAGGGGAGAAAACGCUGAAUGCGUGGAACAUGCAUGGACAAUGCAGUAUUCAGUCCGUCAAUUAUCGGCCCCUGACGAUUUUGUCCGAUUCCAUCUUGAAUCAACGCAGAUGUGAUUUGGCAUUGCUCUGUGGUUCACAUGGAUCCAGUAGCACUACGGCAUGAAAGAGUUCGGAGUGUAUGCGUGUGUAUCAAAGAAGGCAAGAAGCAGUGAUGAAGGAGCACAACACCAGUGCUGCAAGCUGAGAGAUAGAGAGAGAUAAAUACUUGCUUUCCAUUUUCCCCAUGAGAGAUAGAAACAUUUUAUCUUGACCGAAACAGAGAUGAUCGGUUCUCGAGUCCAUUCCAAUGUCUUUGCUAUGUCAGGCUUGGGAGGCGUCGGGGGCUCUCCAAUUACUUUCAGAACCCAGUGGUCAUCGAUGUCAAAACUGGUCUGUCGGGAGAUGCCAUUCUUCAGGAGACUUU